rnacentral:sRNA from 1 species
CGACCCCACGUCCGAAUUGAAAUAUUCCAUUAUUCGAUUUCGAAUUAACGUUACCGACUCAUCCAUCCUCGAAAUAUUUUCCCAUUCCGCUAAUUUGCAACCGUUAACAAAUUUUCCCAUAAAAUGUUUUCCCUUUUUGUGAUAAUUCAAAGGGGAAUGAUAACUCAUUCACAUCAAACAAAAAAUCCCCUUGUCGUAAACUUGGUAUUUCCCAAAAAAUAUUUGCUUUUUCCCAUAAAUUUGUUCACAUCGUUUUUGCUGGGGAGUUGCUUUAAACAUGAGCCGAAGUGUGAACAAAAAUCAACACGAGAUUUUGCUCAACAAAAUGCAAUAUAACAGGACAAUUGCGUGUGGCUUUGUCAAAAUUUCAAAGGACGCAAUGACAUUUUAAAAUUGUUGGAAUUCCGGACGAUGUUUUUGAUGGCGGCAGAUUUUCCUCGAGCUCCUCCAGAAUAUAUUUAAAAGCAUCUUUACUUAAUCUAUAGUGCUGGGUGAAUCUACAACAAAAGUUUAU